rnacentral:rRNA from 1 species
AGCUUGCUCCACCGAAAGAAAAGGAGUGGCGAACGGGUGAGUAACACGUGGGUAACCUGCCCAUCAGAAGGGGAUAACACUUGGAAACAGGUGCUAAUACCGUAUAACAAUCGAAACCGCAUGGUUUCGGUUUGAAAGGCGCUUUUGCGUCACUGAUGGAUGGACCCGCGGUGCAUUAGCUAGUUGGUGAGGUAACGGCUCACCAAGGCAACGAUGCAUAGCCGACCUGAGAGGGUGAUCGGCCACAUUGGGACUGAGACACGGCCCAAACUCCUACGGGAGGCAGCAGUAGGGAAUCUUCGGCAAUGGACGCAAGUCUGACCGAGCAACGCCGCGUGAGUGAAGAAGGUUUUCGGAUCGUAAAACUCUGUUGUUAGAGAAGAACAAGGAUGAGAGUAAAAUGUUCAUCCCUUGACGGUAUCUAACCAGAAAGCCACGGCUAACUACGUGCCAGCAGCCGCGGUAAUACGUAGGUGGCAAGCGUUGUCCGGAUUUAUUGGGCGUAAAGCGAGCGCAGGCGGUUUCUUAAGUCUGAUGUGAAAGCCCCCGGCUCAACCGGGGAGGGUCAUUGGAAACUGGGGAACUUGAGUGCAGAAGAGGAGAGUGGAAUUCCAUGUGUAGCGGUGAAAUGCGUAGAUAUAUGGAGGAACACCAGUGGCGAAGGCGGCUCUCUGGUCUGU